ACUGCCCCUAGAGGCGCUGCAGGCGUGGCUGCCGUGUCACGUCUGCGUCAUGAGGUGGCAGAGAGGAAAGAGGCUCGGUCUACGCCCAGUGUUCUGGCCGGUGGACAUCUGGAUGAUUGAUAGUCUGACACUU
ensembl:snoRNA